AUUAUAUACACACACUGCAUUAUAUACACCCACACUACACAAACACACUGUGUAUAUAAUGCAGUGUGUGUUUGUGUA